UGUAAAGUACAUGCUACUUAUAGCAAAAUAUUCUAAAACCCUAAUACUCAAAACGACGCAGUAUUGGGACGGAUUAAGAACUGUACUCGACCCAUGUGGUCGAGUGAGGGGUCGAGUGAUAAGAUGGAGUCUUCUUUUCUUCCUUGUACUCGAAUGUCUGAUUGAGUGCGGAAUGGAGAAGACUUUGAAGCUGGCAGUCGAGUAUGUAGUCGAGUGAUAGAGAUGGUGGUACUCGGCUUGGUGGUAGAGUGAUCGAGUGAAGGUGAUGAAGGUACUCGACCACGUGGUCAAGUAGUGUGAUCGAGUGAAGGUGAUGUGGUGGACGUGAUGAUACUCGACCAGGCGGUCGAGUGAUGAGAUCGAGUGAUUGUCUUGGUGGUACUCGACUAGGGGGUCAAGUGGUGAUGUGAAGUGAUGAUGAUACUUGACCUCGUUGGUAGAGUGAUUGGUCGAGUGAAUGAUGAUGGCGAUACUCGACCAUGUUGGUAGAGUGAUUUGUCGAGUGGAUGAUGAUGGUGAGACUCGGCCAUGUUGGUAGAGUGAUUGGUCGAGUGAAUGAUGAUGGUGAUACUCUGCCAUGUUGGUAGAGUGAUUGGUCGAGUGAAUGAUGAUGGUGAUACUCGGCCAUGUUGGUGGAGUGAUAGGUCGAGUGAAUAAUGAUGGUGAUACUCGACCUGUUGGUAGAGUGAUUCGCUAUAGAGGUUGUGGCCGAGUAAUUCAAGAACUCCAUGAUGACUAUACUUGAGCUCGUGGUCAAGUAUGUUGAUUUGAUCAGGUGCACUUCUUCCAAUUAACUCACCAGCAGCUCCAAAUCAUCUGAAAACAACACAAAUAUGCAAUAUGCAUGCAWAACUAUCCUAGACAUGCAAAGUGAUGACAAAUGAUGAGAAAUGGUAUAAAACAGUGGUGAUAUGAUGCUAAAGUGAUGACAAAUGGAUGCUCAAAACGUGUAAAAUGCACACUUAUCAACUCCCCCAAACUUAGUAUUUGCUUGCCCUCAAGCAAACAAUUAAGAACAAGCUGGAGAUGAGGUUUGAAAGCGGGGACUCAGAACCAAAGCAUGAGAUAUGACAAUUAAGAUCAAUGUAUAAGCUAACAGUUCUAAAAUGCAAGGUGAUCGACUUCUACUUAAAAACUUUAGUUAUGCUCUGUUAUGAUCCAAAUUCACACUCAGUUGCACAAUACGUCAAGAUCAACCAAUCCCUUUAACAUUCAUUACGUUCAGGAACAUGAAUCAAGACAUGCAUCGCUAGUGAACUCAUUUGGCUAAGGACGGGUUAUGAGACAAAGAUGGUCCCUUUAAGGUGGUUCAAAUUUUAAUAACAGGGGACUCUCAAUGAAAAAGGACUGAGCUUUAGAUGAAUGCUAAAGGUAAGUGCCAACCUAUGCAUACAAGAAUAACAUCCCAUCUACCCAAUGACAUAAACCGUGAAUAACAAGUAGAUGGUCCUAUCUCUAAACCCAAUGAUGAUCCUAAGUCUACCCUUUUGCACUAAAGGAAUAU
rnacentral:sRNA from 1 species